AUUGAACGCUGGCGGAAUGCUUUACACACGCAAGUCGAACGGCAGCACGGGGCAACCUGGUGGCGAGUGGCGAACGGGUGAGUAAUGCAUCGGAACGUGCCAUUGAGUGGGGGGAUAACGUAGCGAAAGUUGCGCUAAUACCGCAUAUUCUGUGAGCAGGAAAGCAGGGGACCGCAAGGCCUUGCGCUCUUUGAGCGGCCGAUGUCAGAUUAGCUAGUUGGUGAGGUAACGGCUUACCAAGGCGACGAUCUGUAGCGGGUCUGAGAGGAUGAUCCGCCACACUGGAACUGAGACACGGUCCAGACUCCUACGGGAGGCAGCAGUGGGGAAUUUUGGACAAUGGGCGCAAGCCUGAUCCAGCCAUGCCGCGUGAGUGAAGAAGGCCU
rnacentral:rRNA from 1 species